rnacentral:tRNA from 1 species
CAUCUCGUUUACACCGAGAGGGUCAUAGGUUCGAGUCCUUUACCGCCCACCA